rnacentral:tRNA from 3 species
GCCCGGGUGGUGAAAUUGGUAGACACAGGAGACUUAAAAUCUCCCGCCGCAAGGCGUACCGGUUCGAUUCCGGUCCCGGGCACCA